UACAGAGGGUGCGAGCGUUGUCCGGAAUCACUGGGCGUAAAGGGCGCGUAGGUGGCCUGAUAAGUCGGGGGUGAAACGCUGCGGCUUAACCGCAGCACUGCCUUCGAGACUGUCCGGCUUGAGCACGGUAGAGGCUGGUGGAAUUCCCGGUGUAGCGGUGGAAUGCGUAGAGAUCGGGAAGAACAUCGGUGGCGAAGGCGGCCAGCUGGGCCGUUGCUGACACUGAGGCGCGACAGCGUGGGGAGCAAACAGG
rnacentral:rRNA from 1 species